GCCCGCCCCCACCACGGCCGGUGCUUCCUGCCCUCCUGCCGGGGCGUGGGGAGCGCAGCGGGGCAGCCGGCCACAAAGCGAGCAGAACUGGGCAAGUACCCCGCGGUCGCAUCGUCUCUACGGGCAGCACCGCGCAGAGGCAAAAAGUCGGCUCCGAGAAAGGCCACCAUUACACCGCCGCCACGGACCGGAGCUCGGCAGCGAGGGGGCUGCGGUGGUUCAGCCCCAAUAUUUCCAGAGGAAUCAAGACACCUCCGAUCUCCAGAAAUUCAGUAAGGUAUCCAUGGCUGAAAGAACAAGGGGAACAAGGCCAGAAAUGUCACUUGCCUUGGAGCCCAUCUUCCUCUGCCAGCAUGCCAUGUCCUGGGAGCCAUUACCUCCCAUCUCACUGCAGUGGUAGAGGUCUGAACUGCAUACUGUCUCUGCAGAAAAGCAUGGACUGUCCUCUUACAGGCAGGCAGAUGCAGCACACUCAUCCAAAUGUGAGAAAAACCACUAAUUCUAGGUUCCUGAGAGACGGGUUACAUGACUUUCCAUUCAGUUCCAUCUUUCGAUAGCCAGGUUGUUUUUUAAACCUGCAGAAUGCUUGGAUGUGGAUAUCUCUGUACACAAGUUUAUUCUUUAAACAAAUUUUCUGAAGAGAACUUGCCCAUUCUUUCCAUCUCAGCACCACACAGCACCUCCAGCUGUCCAAGGAAACAGAGGCAUCAUCCUGAGCCACACUGUUAGGUGAGCCAGAAACAAGCUGGCUCCCUGGGAACUCCAGCUCCAGCUCUGCUUCUGCCAUGCUUUUAAUGAAGCUGUACAGGAUGCAACUUUGAGCAACUUUUUGGGCACUAUCCCAUUCCUGCAAGAAAAACAUGAUGGCUAAUGGCUUCCUGCUCUUUGAUGCAUCUCUUCUGCCUAGAGAAAAAUGAGAAAGAAGUUUAAAAAGGUCUGUGAAGAAAGACUAAUGAAUUACUACUAGAAUCACAUUUAAAAUCUCUGGCAAAUAAUAUUAAAGCACUUGGUAACUAUUUAAUCUUUAAUUAUUAUAUUAAAACAAUUUUCUCUUAUUUCAUAGAUAGGAAAACCGGCAAAAGGAGAGUUCCUGAUAUGUCUGAAUCUGCACAAUGAAUCUGUGACAGACUUGAGAUUAUUUUCCUGGGCAGGUGGUUUCACCACAGGAGCUCUCUUCUCUGCUCUGCUAAUAAAGUAAUUUUGAUGUUACCCAUUA